AUGGCGGAGCACCACCAAAUCCCAGAGAGGGGGGCACGCACAAAAGAACUGCAUGUACAAUCCAAGGGCCUGCAUGUCACAUCCAGGGGCUUGCAUGCAACGCCCAGGGACCUGCAUGUAAUUUCUAGAGUAAAUACGGGACAUCAAGCGUGGCCUGCAUGGCUACCGCCGGAAUUUCACGACGCCAAGAUAAAUGCGGACGGAGGUUUGUCCAAGAUUGGGGACAAGGGCGCCUUUGCCGUGGUGUGGCGAGACAAACACGGUAACUACCUAGGGGCUUCUGCCAUCAUUUUUGAAGGCCUCUUGGACCCGGCAAUUCUCGAGGUACAUGCGUGUAGCGAGGCGCUAGCACUCGCUACAGAUUUACACAUUCAAUCAAAAUGCGUAGCUUCAGACUGUCUAGAAGUUGUGACAAGGAUCGCAGACGACUCCCCGUGCAGAUUCUUUCCAAUCCUACAAGAUAUCAAGCAUCAGAGGAAGGCUUUCCGUUCUGUUGAGUUUAUUCACGAGAGUAGGAGACACAAUGGAGAGGCUCAUGCUUUAGCUAAGAAGGUUGCAUCUCUCCCUCCCGGGCGCCAUGUGUGGCUUGCAACUUUGCCCGACAUCAUCUUGUUGGAAAUAUGCCCUAGAGGCAAUAAUAAAACGGUUAUUAUUAUAUUUCCUUGUUCAUGA
rnacentral:rRNA from 1 species